UUAACCCCAAAGAUUGCUGUCAAAGACAUCAAGAAGAUUUUAUUUGGAUACGUAAUGUCAUCUAUAAUUCAAUUUUCCUAUAUGAAAUUAAUCAUGCAAUACAAGGUCGAUGUAUUUACACUGUGCAGAUAAGGAGAGCUCACAGAUUGGAUCGAUGGUGAGACAUAUAUAGUUGAACAUUACUUGGGGUGAACCUGGUCAGGACUCGGG
rnacentral:misc_RNA from 1 species